UUACGGCCAAAUCACGAUAAAACACUGGUUGCCAUAUGAUCAUCGAAGCUAAGCAACGUCGGUCCUGGUCAAUACCUAGAUGGCUGACCAAUUGGGAAUAUCAGGUGCUGUAAG